CUGAGCGACUUUACACUCUUUGCCUGCGACUGUCUUCAUAGGUGAUAGCAAUGACGACAGUCGCAGGCACAUGUGUAAAGUCGCUCAGAAAUAAA